rnacentral:lncRNA from 1 species
UCUCUCCUUAUGAUUAAAUUAAUUAGGGAACGUCUUCUAAUCAAUUACUAAUUAACAAAUUGCCAAGGAACGUCGUUGGGCCUUAGGCAUCAAAACAAUUGUCAAUUGCAUAAAGAAUGAGAGAGAUCUAACCCUAGCUACUCAAACGCAUGAGAUGUUGCUAGAUCAUGCAAUUCCCUAGUUUUUACACCAAGUAUUCUAUGGACAGAAU